GCUCACCACUGGGUUUAAGCUUUCUUGGGAUUCUCUCUUUCCUUUCCCUCUGAAUAGCAAAGAUGUGAGACUCUGUUUAGCAAGGAAUGCUUUGAGAUGUAAUCAUUUCGGUAUGGAUGUCUUCUGCAUUUUUUUUCCUUCUUUUCCCACAUAGGCAUAUUCUAAACCCACACAUGAGACUUGAUCCUGUCAAACAAUGUUGAUUACUGGUCCCAAGUGACUUCAGCUGUGGCUAUGAGCUGACUUUGUAAAUAUGCUCAGAUAUGCUUGCUAAAAAGAAAAUGUCAACAUUCAAACAAGAUCACUUUGUUACCAAUGCCUAAGAGCACAUGACUACCCAAAAAAGGCUGAAUUACAGGAGAGCAAAGAUGAAGAACAGCUCACUGCUUUGUCAAAAGAAAACCAAAACUAAAUAUUGGCAAAAAUACUAUGGUUUGUUUUUAACAUGGAUUACCUUUAUUUGUUAAACAAGAAAGUCAUAUUGUACCCUGAACAUUGAUUCUUGGCUUAAAACAAAAGUUAAAAAAAGAAUUAAUUAGCCAACCCAAAUUUUUGGUUUUUCUUUCAGGAGGCCCCAGGAGACCCCUGAUGUAGCACACCAUUCUCUCCCACCCAAGUCUGAACAGCUUUAGAAGAAACUCAAGUGGCACAUGGGAUCAAAUUCAAGGACGUGGCUUCAUUCAAGCUUUCUAGAACUAAUGGAGGUUGUAGCCUAAGGAGCCAUUCCUUUUGAAAUUUUCAAGAAUUCCCACAACUACACAAAGAUCAUAUGGGGAUGCCCUGAAGAGCUCAGCAAAGCCCAAAGCCGGUAUCACACGGCCCAUGCCAAAUGGAGGGAUGGAUACGUGUGUGUAUAUCAGAACAAAGAACUCGGCUGAACUCCUGGGAGGUAGAAUUGACUGGAAAUUCGUCGGGACAUGGGAAGCGCAAGAGGUUAGUGAUUUCCAGGGCAGCCCGGUGGAGCAGAGGGCUGGGAGGGGUCUGCGGUAGGGACCAGAUCAUGCUCCGCUCUAAGAUGCACAGAGCCACCCUCCCCUGCGACAAAUACCAGCUGCAUGAAAGCAGUAGAGAAUCGAGGCAAACAUACUCUCCUUGUUUUAGACAGAGGCCUUUUCUUUGCCUCGUAGGCUCAGGAAUUUGGCGAGGAGAAGUAUCCCUCUUCACACAGCAGUCUGCCAGCUGUCAGCAGCUCCUGACAUGA
rnacentral:lncRNA from 1 species